rnacentral:rRNA from 1 species
UAGUAGUCAUACGCUCGUCUCAAAGAUUAAGCCAUGCAUGUGUAAGUAUAAAUAGUUAACUUUGAAACUGCGAAUGGCUCAUUAUAUCAGUUAUAGUUUAUUUGAUGAAGAAUACUAAUUGGAUAACCGUAGUAAUUCUAGAGCUAAUACAUGUAUAAAGUCUUGUAGACUGCAUUUAUUAGAAUGAAAACCAUAGGUUUCGGCCUAUUCGUGAGUAAUAAUAACUAAUCAUAUCGUAUGCUUAAGUAACGAUGUGUCUUUCAAGUUUCUGCCCUAUCAGCUUUCGA